rnacentral:rRNA from 1 species
GGCGAACGCUGGCGGCGUGCUUAACACAUGCAAGUCGAGCGAGGCCCCUCCUUCGGGAGGGUGUCCUAGCGGCGAACGGGUGAGUAACACGUGGGCAACCUGCCCUCAGCUCUGGGAUAACUCCGGGAAACCGGGGCUAAUACCGGAUACGACCUCCACGGGCAUCUGCGGAGGUGGAAAGUUUUUCGGCUGAGGAUGGGCCCGCGGCCUAUCAGCUAGUUGGUGGGGUAGUGGCCCACCAAGGCGACGACGGGUAGCCGGCCUGAGAGGGCGACCGGCCACACUGGGACUGAGACACGGCCCAGACUCCUACGGGAGGCAGCAGUGGGGAAUAUUGCGCAAUGGGCGAAAGCCUGACGCAGCGACGCCGCGUGAGGGACGAAGGCCUUCGGGUUGUAAACCUCUUUCAGCAGGGACGAAGCGAAAGUGACGGUACCUGCAGAAGAAGCACCGGCCAACUACGUG